rnacentral:lncRNA from 1 species
UAAAGUAUAUUUGAAAAUCCUUUUUCUCCUACUAAGCUAUCCGAACAAGUGAAUUGCAAGGAGAAAAUUAAGGCUAUGUUUGGUAUAGUUUUCUCAGAAUAGGUAUAGUUUUCUCAGAAUAAUUUUCAAAUGAGUCAAUCCAAAAGGGCUAAAUUGUAAAUUUACCCUGUUUGUUUGUUCUUCUCGACCAAGAGGUCAUUCAAUAGCUUAACGUCCUCGAACUCUCCAUUAAGGGUGGAACCAAGAAUAGCAGCCACACAGAUGGUGUUCUC